GACGAACGCUGGCGGCGUGCUUAACACAUGCAAGUCGAACGGAAAGGCCCUGCUUUUGUGGGGUGCUCGAGUGGCGAACGGGUGAGUAACACGUGAGUAACCUGCCCUUGACUUUGGGAUAACUUCAGGAAACUGGGGCUAAUACCGGAUAGGAGCUCCUGCUGCAUGGUGGUGGUUGGAAAGUUUCGGCGGUUGGGGAUGGACUCGCGGGUUAUCAGCUUGUUGGUGGGGUAGUGGCUUACCAAGGCUUUGACGGGUAGCCGGCCUGAGAGGGUGACCGGCCUCCUUGGGACUGAGAUACGGCCCAGUCUCCUACGGGAGGCAGCAGUGGGGAAUCUUGCACAGUGGGCGGAAGCCUGAUGCAGCAACGCCGCGUGCGGGAUGACGGCCUACGGGUUGUAAACCGCUUUCGCCUGUGACGAAGCGGGAGUGACGGUAAUGGGUAAAGAAGCACCGGCUAACUACGUG
rnacentral:rRNA from 1 species